ensembl:lncRNA
ACUCCAUCCGGGUCUCGGCGCGGUUGCGGGUCACCCUGCGGCAGACUAACUUGAAGGUCCGGAAGUGCCGCCCCCGAGCGCUCCUGAUUGGCGGCCCGGCCGCGCCGCCCGCCGGGGAUAGGCUGCGGAUGCCGUCAGCGCCGGGCUAAAAAGCAGGAUACGUGAUGAUCUCUCCCAAGGUGUAUUUGUUGCAGAAUGAGGUUUUCCUGGUGCCCUGUGUGCACUUCACCAUCGAUCUCAAGCCAGACUGUUGCAUAGAACCACAAGCUCUGUUCUCAAGACGUCCUUGCUAAGAAGGGGACUGUAAGUCACAUCAGUCUGAUAAGAGAUGACAUCUGUGGAACGCUAAUAGUAUUUUUCCUGUAACAGACAAGUUUAAUGACUACAGUUGCUAUGACUGCUGCAGCUUGCUAACUGUCUAAAGGUUAAAUACAUUAAGACCCAAACAGUUGGUAAACUUUUGAAACGAAGGAAUCUUAUCCUUACAGUAACAUCAUUGCAUGAGUGGAGAGAGAUGGGAAUGUUUUUUUCCUGUGACCAGCAUAGCACACUGUAAGUGCCUGCAGUUAGCUUAAGCUGUCUUUAUUAAAGCACCAUUCUUUGGACAUCACCUCUGAAGAUGCCUGCACUGUGGGAUGAGGUAGUAGGUUGUAUAGUUUUAGGGUCAUACCCGCAACUGGGAGAUAACUAUACAAUCUACUGUCUUUCCUAAAGCAGCAGAAAAUCAACAACGGAGACCGUUCAGUUUUAAGCACAGUGUCAGAUUGUCCCAAACUUCUGUACUCGGAGUGUUUAUUAUAGCAGGCAAAUAUUUCUGCAACGCCUACAGGUAAUUACUUCUGGAUUUUUUCUAAUUCUCUACAUUAAUUUAUCUUCUCUAAGGAUAACACGUAAGAACAGAUUGAUUCCUUUAAGGUGGGGUAAUCGAAUACAAACGGUUGAUGUUCUAAUAAGUUGUGUUAACACUGCUAACUGAAGCAUCAAAUAUUAAUACUCGAGAAUGAGACUGUGGUUAGCUACUUCAGCAAAGAGCUUAAGUACAUGCUUCUCUGUCAGAGUGAGGUAGUAGAUUGUAUAGUUGUAGGGUAGUUAUUUUACCCUGUUCAGGAGAUAACUAUACAAUCUAUUGCCUUCCCUGAGGAGUAAAACAAACUGCGGUCCUUUGCUGUUGUUUGUUUCCACAUUGAGUAAAAGUUUACUUGUCAGAUAAGUUUAGGGUUGGAGAGUGUCACAUUAAUCCUGUAAAUUCUGUCCUUAAUUAACGAUCAGUUUGAAUGGUGCAAAUCCCAAACCUUAUGGAACUAAUACAACUUUUCUUUCAAGGUGAGUGGCACAGCACUGUCUGGACAUCAACAAUGCAUCUCUUAUAGAUACAGAACUGAAUACACCAUAGACUGGAAAUCAUUCUAAAACGAUUUGGUUUUGAACCUAAAAGUAGUCUUGGCUCAAGCUUAUACAUGGUGACAUAAACUGUUUUAAUUUCUGUAAUACAUUAACAUUCCAUCACUGUUCUGUAGAAGCUGGGAGACUUACAGUCAUACUUCAUUAAUACGCCUGCUUAUUUUUCUCUAGCUCUUCUAGCCAGAGAGACUUAAACAAUGUAAUACAAAGAUUAAAGUGUUGAAUGGCCAAAAUUGAUCCCUUCAACUGUUUAGGAGAAUGUAAAGCUAUGAAAUUUGAGUGCUCAAGAUCCAGAAUUGUAACUUCUGUCUGAAGAGGUUACUGAUUUUAUAAGAAGGCAUUUAAAGAUUGUGUUCUUUAUACCCCAUUAGCGCUAGGUGUACCCCCAUCUAGCUGCUUCUGCCCUAGGGUGACCACCUAACAUCUUCCUAUAACAACAAGGAACAAAAAGCAUGAAAACAUUCUGAUGACUGAAAGUUUAGCGUAGUAAGAGUGAAAAUGGAGCCAUUAAUGAGUACUUAAGCCAGGAGUGUUACUGGUUAACCACUUAUUAAACAGUGCUAACUGUAAACUUCUAGUACAUGCCCUGGCCUAAAAAUGCAGAAGACCAAAAGCAGCUGGUAAGCUAAGCUGGCUUCACAGAGCAGCUGCUAAGCAAGAAGAACUGCAGAAAGGAAGCAUUGGGCUCCUAGGAAGAGGUAGUGGGUUGCAUAGUUUUAGGGCAGGGAUUUUGCUCACAAGGAGGUAACUAUACAACCUGCUGCCUUUCUUAGGGCUUUAUUAUAACACCAGGACCAUUUUGGCUCCAUCCUAACCUCUGCAGCUUUGGUAUGUGAAGAGAAGUGAAGCUGUUUCUAAGCAUAUUGAGGUUUAAUGAAACUGGUGUCUCAGCAAAUUUGGUACAGACUUGAGCAUAGUACUAUUAACUGGAAUUUGGUAUUGUGAAAUGCUGCAUUUCAGGGCACACAUGUCAUUUUGUUGACAUUGGUGUUGUGAUAACUUACAAAGAUACUGAAGAAAAAUUCCAAGAGUAAGAUCAGAUUCCCUACAAUUAGGAUGGAGGUGUUACAUACUUCUUAACGUUCAGUUAAGUACUAAUGCUACAUACUUACAAACAGGCGGCUAUAAUGCACCUUCCUUUGGCUUUGUGAAGUUUCCAAGGAUCAACUUAAAACUCACCUGAAAGCUGGUGGGUUCCUGCAGGCAGGAAUAGGUUCUCCCAAAAAGUCAUGCUCUGUCAUGGAAUACUUGCAGUCCUACAGGAGCAUUUUCAAAGUGAAUGACUGCACAUCUGCUGUGGGGUUGUAUGUUGAGAAGUAGAUAAUCCUUUCAUGUAAUUACAGUGCAGUACCACCAUUGUUCUGGUAGGGCUUCAUCCAGAUGUGCUCUGCUGUGGGAUACAGAGACCCUUAACUGCUGAUCAACUUGGAAGAUUAAUGCUUUAUGCUUACAGCAGCCAGUUUUUAGAGUUCUGGCAAGACAGAAUCCUAGAUAUUAUAAACAUACUUAGUAUGUUAAUGGAAAUUGUCUAUUCAUUGAAGUGUACACACUUGAUUUACUCAAUAAAAGAAUUUUAUGCAACUCCUAUGGUGAAUUGACUUUACUUUCUACAAAAUAAGGAAGUGAAUUUUACAGGAAAACACCGCUCAGACUACUGAAGUGAAAUCAAGACCAUAUUAAAAGAAGUUUUAACAGUAAUUAGUGUAAAAAAUCCCACUGUAAAUUGUGAUUUUUGAUAUGAGACAUCACUGAUGGGAGACGAGGGGAAUCCUUACUUACAACUUUACUGUUGAAUGCAUAGGAAUUCUGCUUACUCCAGAGCUGUUAUCUGAGCAUAAGUUCUAAUUGUUGCUCACGAACGU